rnacentral:lncRNA from 1 species
GAUUUUUGAAUGUUAUAAUUGCUUGAUUGAUUGCUGGUUUAGAUGGUUUUAAUUACUUACUUAAUGUGAUGAUAAUUAAAUGAACUAACAAAUUUUUGCAGCUAAGGGAAACCGUCAAGUAUUAAGGUACACCUUAUACCUUCUGGUUGUGUGAAUGAAAUGAUUAAUUUAGAAAAGCAUGCAAUUAGGUCUAAUUUCUUAUAUGAAAUAUUCUGCAAUUGUGUGGUG